rnacentral:lncRNA from 1 species
UUUCAGGUGGUGAACUUCUCCUGGAUUCGCCCGGAGAAUUGCCUGUCGGAUUUUGUACAGUAUACCUCUCCUGCCACGCUCCGGCCGGAAAUGUUCUGUCUCGAGGAAAGAGGGGACAAUGAUGGAGACUCUUGCCAUCUUGCAGCUCAGGAAAGAAGAGAGGGAAGGACCUGAACCAGCCAAUAAUUACACUAAAUGAGGUAAAAAAAUUCAAUUACCUGGACUUGAAAGGUAAGAAGUUUUUCUUUUCCCUUUGAUACACAGAUUUUUCUCAUUUAGGCCUGAUCUAAAAACCUCAUAUAUUAGACACCCCACCACAUUCCCCAUUUAUCUUAUACCUCAUCACUUGCCUUAGUAUCUGCAAUUUGUGGUUAGGUUGCUAUUUCUUAUAAGUGGCUCUCCACUCAGGUGGGGAGAGUGCCCCAUUCCCCCCAGUGCCCCUUCCCAGUCACCAGUCUGCCCCACACGGCUGUGGGAAUUAGCCAGGGCUACCAGGCUGCGGUGAAAAUAGGGGGACUCUCUCCAGCUCGGGGCUUCUGGCUAGAAAUUAGACUGUAUGCUCCUUGUGGGCAGGGAAUGUGUCUGUUUAGUGUUAUAUUGUACUCUCCCAAGUGCUUAAUACAGUGCUUUGUACACAGUGAGCACUCAAUAAAUACAAUGAAAUGAACGAAUGCAUGAAUGAAAGUUUUGGGCAGGAAACGUGUCCACCAAGUCUGUUAUACUCUACUCUUCUAAACAGUAAAUACAGUGGUCUGCGCACAAUUAGCGCUCAAUAAAUAUGAUUGAUUGAGGAAGACCUUCCAAGAUAAACUCAAAGAGUAUUCAGGAAGAAGAUUGAGGUGCCACCACCCUGAGGCUCCUUGCACUAGAUAACCUGCAUUGCUCUCUGGUAACACUGCUUUCCCUGAGGGAGCCCAAGAGGCCAAGAAGAAGCUGCUCAACACUUCACCUUGGACUCGAGGACCUUCUCAAUCCCUCAAAAAUGGACCUUCACUCCUUUGAGACUACAGAUUGCCAGGUACCCCCUCCUCCUGCUCCCCUUCCUCCUCCUGCUCCUCCUCCUCAUAAUAAUAGUAAUAAUAAUAGCAAUAAAGAUGGUAUUUAAGUGCUUACUAUGUGUAAAGCACUUUUCUCAGUGCUGGAGUAGGCACAAGCUAAUCAGGUUGGAGACAGUUCCUGUCCCACAUGAGGCUCAUAGUCUUAAUCCGCAUUUUACAGAUGAGACAACUGAGGCACAGAGAAGUGAAGUGACUAGCCCAAGGUUGAC